rnacentral:rRNA from 1 species
GACGUAGGGCGCGAGCGUUGUCCGGAUUUAUUGGGCGUAAAGAGCUCGUAGGCGCUUGUCGCGUCGUCCGUGAAAUCCCGGGGCUUAACCCCGGGCGUGCAGUGGAUACGGGCAGGCUGGAGGCAGGCCAGGGGGAGAACCGGAAUUCCCGGUGUAGCGGUGAAAUGCGCAGAUAUCGGGAGGAACACCGGUGGCGAAGGCGGUUCUCUGGACCGUAACUGACGCUGAGG